GAUGAACGCUGGCGGCGUGCCUAAUACAUGCAAGUCGAGCGAACGGACGAGAAGCUUGCUUUUCUGAUGUUAGCGGCGGACGGGUGAGUAACACGUAGAUAACCUACCUAUAAGACUGGGAUAACUUCGGGAAACCGGAGCUAAUACCGGAUAAUAUUUUGAACCGCAUGGUUCAAAAGUGAAAGACGGUCUUGCUGUCACUUAUAGAUGGAUCCGCGCUGCAUUAGCUAGUUGGUAAGGUAACGGCUUACCAAGGCAACGAUGCAUAGCCGACCUGAGAGGGUGAUCGGCCACACUGGAACUGAGACACGGUCCAGACUCCUACGGGAGGCAGCAGUAGGGAAUCUUCCGCAAUGGGCGAAAGCCUGACGGAGCAACGCCGCGUGAGUGAUGAAGGUCUUCGGAUCGUAAAACUCUGUUAUUAGGGAAGAACAUAUGUGUAAGUAACUGUGCACAUCUUGACGGUACCUAAUCAGAAAGCCACGGCUAACUACGUG
rnacentral:rRNA from 1 species